GUGCCAGUACUGAUUAUUCCUUGGCCGGACUACGAAUCCGAAGGUCGCAGGUUCGAGCCCUGCCGGGCGCGCCA
rnacentral:tRNA from 1 species